rnacentral:tRNA from 1 species
GCCGAGGUGGCGGAACAGGCAUACGCGCCCCGGUCUCAGACACCGGGGACGGAACGUCCAGUGAGGGUUCGACUCCCUCUCUCGGCA